ACACUUACUUGGAGGGGGUUUGGCGAAUUCGAGAGGGUAGUUAUUUGCUUUUGAGCGCUUCUAAUACACACGCACGAUAUAUAUUCUUUUAAUUUCCAAAGUUUUCUGCUUGAAUACAGCAGGAAUAGAAAAUAGGACGAAAGAAAAAGGAGGACUCGCCUGGCCGUUUCCUCAUUCUUGACUCCUGCGCAAUUCGCCAAUCGCCCUUUAGCCGUCGUCCGCGGAGCCCGACUACCUUGCGCGCGCGUUCCCGCUUUUCUGCGUGCCUGCGGCGCUGUGCUCCUGCAGCCAAUCAGAACGCGAGGUCGCCGCGGUCGCCUCGGUUCGCGCGCACGCCCCAGAGCGCAGUGGGGGUGGGGGCUACGGGUGAAUGGGAGAGUGAGCGGGGGCGGGCACGGCGGCGCGAGCCGCAUGAAUGAGAGGAACGUGCUCCGCGCGAGACGUCGCGCGCGCCCGGGCCAGGGAACCAAUGGGAAUGCCGGGAGGGCUAGAGAACCGGCACUGAGGGCAACGGCCGCGCGCCGGCUGGAAGACGAGCGUCGCCGGGCGGGAGCGCGCGGGAGCGGGGCGGGCGUGGAGCGUGCGGGGGCCGCGCGCUGCCUCUCAGAGGCCGGACGGCACUGCCGAGAGGCGGUGGUGACAACGACGGCGGCAGAGACGGGCACCGCGCCGGGGGUGAGGCACCAUAACAAAGUUGAACUCUGCAUCUGGAAAGCCCAAGAUUGAAGAAGAAAGAUCAGAGACAUUGACUAACCUGGAAACGGGAACAUCUUUGGAACUUGGUUUUAUCUACAGUAAUCAUUUAAAGUAUCAACAAGUGGAAUUAAUUUCUUCAUUUCAUUCUGCUUAUUAGGAAAAACAUGACUUCAAGGAUUUUAAGUUUCCCUUUAGUUUUGCAUGAAUUCUGUAGGAAACGGAGCCCUUAAAGGGCUUGGGAAUAACAAGAAGAGAUUGAAGACUGACAAGCUUGCUCUCUAUUUUCCCUCCCACUUCAAAGAAAAGGAUUUACAACUCAACCUUAUAACAGCUGUUGUCCAGCUUUGGCCACCAAGAGAGAAAUAAAUAAAAUUAAACCACCA
rnacentral:lncRNA from 1 species